rnacentral:rRNA from 1 species
GACGAACGCUGGCGGCGUGCCUAAUACAUGCAAGUAGAACGCUGAAGGAGGAGCUUGCUUCUCUGGAUGAGUUGCGAACGGGUGAGUAACGCGUAGGUAACCUGCCUGGUAGCGGGGGAUAACUAUUGGAAACGAUAGCUAAUACCGCAUAAUAGUAGAUGUUGCAUGACAUUUGCUUAAAAGGUGCAAUUGCAUCACUACCAGAUGGACCUGCGUUGUAUUAGCUAGUUGGUGAGGUAACGGCUCACCAAGGCGACGAUACAUAGCCGACCUGAGAGGGUGAUCGGCCACACUGGGACUGAGACACGGCCCAGACUCCUACGGGAGGCAGCAGUAGGGAAUCUUCGGCAAUGGACGGAAGUCUGACCGAGCAACGCCGCGUGAGUGAAGAAGGUUUUCGGAUCGUAAAGCUCUGUUGUAAGAGAAGAACGAGUGUGAGAGUGGAAAGUUCACACUGGGACG